rnacentral:lncRNA from 1 species
GGCGGCCAUGUUGGUUGGUUGGACGGGUCGCCGGACACAUUUUUUAAAGUACAUACCCCAAUGAUGAUUGUGGCCAAGUUUGGUUUAAUUUGGCCCAGUAGUUUCAGAGGAGAAGAUUUUUGUAAAAGUUAACGACGACGACAGACGACGGACGCAAAGUGAUGGGAAAAGCUCACUUGGCCCUUUGGGCCAGGUGAGCUAAAAA